rnacentral:rRNA from 1 species
GACAGCAGCAGCCGCGGUAAUACAGAGGGUGCGAGCGUUAAUCGGAAUUACUGGGCGUAAAGCGCGCGUAGACGGUUUGGUAAGUCAGAUGUGAAAUCCCUGGGCUCAACCUGGGAACUGCAUUUGAUACUGCCUGGCUAGAGUAUCGAAGAGGGAAGUGGAAUUUCCGGUGUAGCGGUGAAAUGCGUAGAUAUCGGAAGGAACACCAGUGGCGAAAGCGACUUCCUGGUCGAAUACUGACGUUCAUGUGCGAAAGCGUGGGGAGCAAACGGGAUUAGAUACCCCAGUAGUCCCUGUCUCUUAUAC